AGUCGCUCUGCAGGCUUUUGGCUAAGAUCAAGUGUGGUAUCUGUUCUUAUCAGUUUUAUAUCUGAUAUGCCUUCUAGCCAAGGACAAUCAGUGUAUUACGUGGAUUUUGGAGCUGGGAGAUGGAAUAGGAGCUGGCUCCGUCCACUCCACCUAUUGACCAGGUAUUGGAGCACCUCCAGGAACUGUGCACCAAAA
ensembl:snRNA U2 U2 spliceosomal RNA